CGGACCAGUGAUGAUGACUGUGGUGUUUGAAUCACGCGUGAUAACUCUCAUGUGUCUGAAACUCUGAGGUCCAU